rnacentral:rRNA from 1 species
CAACCCUUGACAUCCGGAUCGCGGUUACCGGAGACGGAUUCCUUCAGUUCGGCUGGAUCCAAGACAGGUGCUGCAUGGCUGUCGUCAGCUCGUGUCGUGAGAUGUUCGGUUAAGUCCGGCAACGAGCGCAACCCACAUCCCCAGUUGCCAGCAGGUCAAGCUGGGCACUCUAGGGAAACUGCCCGUGAUAAGCGGGAGGAAGGUGUGGAUGACGUCAAGUCCUCAUGGCCCUUACGGGUUGGGCUACACACGUGCUACAAUGGUAGUGACAAUGGGUUAAUCCCCAAAAGCCAUCUCAGUUCGGAUUGGGGUCUGCAACUCGACCCCAUGAAGUCGGAAUCGCUAGUAAUCGC